GAUGAACGCUGGCGGCGUGCCUAAUACAUGCAAGUCGAGCGAACAGAUGAGGAGCUUGCUCCUCUGACGUUAGCGGCGGACGGGUGAGUAACACGUGGAUAACCUACCUAUAAGACUGGGAUAACUUCGGGAAACCGGAGCUAAUACCGGAUAAUAUAUUGAACCGCAUGGUUCAAUAGUGAAAGACGGUUUUGCUGUCACUUAUAGAUGGAUCCGCGCCGCAUUAGCUAGUUGGUAAGGUAACGGCUUACCAAGGCAACGAUGCGUAGCCGACCUGAGAGGGUGAUCGGCCACACUGGAACUGAGACACGGUCCAAACUCCUACGGGAGGCAGCAGUAGGGAAUCUUCCGCAAUGGGCGAAAGCCUGACGGAGCAACGCCGCGUGAGUGAUGAAGGUCUUCGGAUCGUAAAACUCUGUUAUUAGGGAAGAACAAAUGUGUAAGUAACUAUGCACGUCUUGGCGGUACCUAAUCAGAAAGCCACGGCUAACUACGUG
rnacentral:rRNA from 1 species